rnacentral:rRNA from 1 species
UACGUAGGGUGCAGGCGUUACUCGGAAUUACUGGGCGUAAAGCGUGCGCAGGCGGUUUCUUAAGUCAGAUGUGAAAGCCCCGGGCUUAACCUGGGAACUGCGUUUGAAACUGGGAGACUUGAGUGUGGCAGAGGGGGGUGGAAUUCCACGUGUAGCAGUGAAAUGCGUAGAUAUGUGGAGGAACACCAAUGGCGAAGGCAGCCCCCUGGGUCAACACUGACGCUCAUGCACGAAAGCGUGGGGAGCAAACAGG